GAUUCCUCUCUGACAAUGGACCCCAACAUCUUACCGGAUUGCACUCUGAUAGCGUACUUUCUCGAAUUCAACCUCAGUCCGAAUUGUCUCAACCGGUCAAACGACUUGCCCCGGUCUGCCAGAUGCCCCUCUCCUGUUUGGGACUUUGCUAUCAUGUCAUAGCAUUCAAUUUCAUGAUGAAUCAUAUCAUGAAACAAAGUCACUCUGCUACGUGGCACCGACGUUCUG
rnacentral:lncRNA from 1 species